rnacentral:rRNA from 1 species
UGGGGAAUAUUGGACAAUGGGGGGAACCCUGAUCCAGCAAUACCGCGUGUGUGAAGAAGGCCUUCGGGUUGUAAAGCACUUUCGUUGGGGAGGAAGGCUGUUGGCUGAAUAGGCUGACAGAUUGACGUUACCCACAGAAGAAGCACCGGCUAACUCUGUGCCAGCAGCCGCGGUAAUACAGAGGGUGCGAGCGUUAAUCGGAAUAACUGGGCGUAAAGCGUGCGUAGGUGGUUAUAUAAGUUAAGUGUAAAAUAUCUGGGCUCAACCUAGAAGGCGCACUUAAAACUGUAUAGCUAGAGUAUGGUAGGGGAAAGUGGAAUUUCCGGUGUAGCGGUGAAAUGCGUAGAUAUCGGAAGGAACAUCAGUGGCGAAGGCGACUUUCUGGACUGAUACUGACACU